UGAGGAAUAUUGGUCAAUGGGCGAGAGCCUGAACCAGCCAAGUAGCGUGCAGGAUGACGGCCCUAUGGGUUGUAAACUGCUUUUAUGCGGGGAUAAAGUGCGCGACGUGUCGUGCAUUGCAGGUACCGCAUGAAUAAGGACCGGCUAAUUCCGUGCCAGCAGCCGCGGUAAUACGGAAGGUCCGGGCGUUAUCCGGAUUUAUUGGGUUUAAAGGGAGCGUAGGCCGCCAGAUAAGCGUGUUGUGAAAUGUACCGGCUCAACCGGUGAAUUGCAGCGCGAACUGUUUGGCUUGAGUGCACGGUAAGCAGGCGGAAUUCAUGGUGUAGCGGUGAAAUGCGUAGAUAUCAUGAAGAACUCCGAUUGCGAAGGCAGCUUGCUGCAGUGCGACUGACGCUGAUGCUCGAAGGUGCGGGUAUCAAACAGG
rnacentral:rRNA from 1 species